rnacentral:rRNA from 1 species
UACGUAUGGGGCGAGCGUUGUUCGGAAUUAUUGGGUGUAAAGGGCGUCUAGGCGGGAAAUUAAGUUAUAUGUGAAAGGCGUGGGCUCAACCCACGAAUUGCAUCUAAAACUGGUUUUCUUGAGUUCGGGAGAGGAGAGCGGAAUUCCUGGUGUAGCGGUGGAAUGCGCAGAGAUCAGGAGGAAUACCGAAGGCGAAGGCAGUCUUCCAAGCCGUUAUUGACGCUCAACUGCGAAGGUGUGGGUAUCAAACAGGAUUAGAUACCCCGGUAGUCCCUGAGCGGG